UACGGAGGGUGCAAGCGUUAUCCGGAUUUACUGGGUUUAAAGGGUGUGUAGGCGGACUUUUAAGUCAGGGGUGAAAUCCCGAGGCUCAACCUCGGAACUGCCUUUGAUACUAUUGGUCUUGAAUGUUGUUGAGGUGGGCGGAACGGGUCAUGUAGCGGUGAAAUGCAUAGAUAUGACCCGGAACACCGAUUGCGAAGGCAGCCCGCUAAGCAACUAUUGACGCUGAGGCACGAAAGCGUGGGGAUCAAAACAGG
rnacentral:rRNA from 1 species